UUCCAUUACUUGGCCCAGAAGCUGUCUCUGCUGUCUCCUUAGCUGACGUAGGGACUGUCUCCGAUGCCGGCCCGAAUCGAACAUACCGCAUGUUUUUCUCGCUGAUGGAGCCGCAUGGAUGACGCUGGAUGGCGGUCUUCGCGCUUCAUGCGUUCCUUGACGCAUUCGCGUCGUUCCUGUGGCGUCGGCUAGCCUUCUUGUCUUUCCUUCGUAGGAAGCCACUCUCUACCACCCAAAUGAACGAGAUCACGAUAAACGUGCGCUUCUCGGCAGACCUUGUUAUACCGCUGAGCCUUGCGCGCGACGCGACCGUGCAGAACUUGAAGGAGCGCCUCGCAGAACGACUUUCGUUGCCUGUCGAAGAAAUUUGUGUGAUCUUCGCUGGCCAAGAACUUGUGGACCAAGUCUCAAUCAAGGACUACAAUGUGGAGGAGCAGACGACAGUGCAUGCGGUACGCUCGGCCAAUGGCGAGGCGUACAUGAGUGCAGAGGUAUGCUGUCCCCUGGGUGAAGGAAUCGUCACCUCACAGCUCACCGAAGAGGAGCACCUGGCACGCAAAACAGAGGUGGACAAAGCUCUGUUUUUUGUCUACUGUAAGCAGCCAUGUGACCGUGUGCUGCCAGGCAAGCUUAGGGUCUGCUGUGCCACCUGUGGUGAAGGCUCCUUCAUCCUUCAAAAGGACCCAUCCUGCUGGCAGGACGUACUCGAACCGGGCCGGCUGUCAGGGCAGUGCCAGAUCUGUCACGAGGUGCGGGCUGCGCGCUUCUUCUUCAAGUGCACAGGCACGGUGGGCUCACAUGACGAUCAGGUGCCCAUUGUGCUGCAACUGAUACGCUACAACUACCUUCGGGUGCCUUGUCUGGCCUGCUUGGACAUCAGCCAGCUUGUGUUGGUGUUCAAGUGUGCACACGUCAUCUGCCUGGACUGUUUUCGGGCCUAUUGCCACAGCCGACUUGACGAGCGUGGCUUUGUCCAGCACCCAACCUUGGGCUGGACACUUCCCUGCCCUGUGGGCUGUGCAGACUCGCUCAUCGAGGAGAGUCACCACUUCUACCUGCUUGGGAGUGAACAGUACCAGCGGUACCAGCGCUUUGCUGCUGAGGAGUGGGUUCUCCAGGCGGGAGGGGUGCUGUGUCCCCGGCCUGGUUGUGGGCAGGGACUGCUGCCCGAACCGGGCUGUGACCGAGUCAAGUGUGACCGGGGGUGUGGGUUUGUGUUUUGCCGGCAGUGCCUUCAGGGACACCACUUGGGGCCCUGCAGCAGCAGUAGAGAAAGUGGCGAAGAACCAGCCGCCACAUUUCAUGCAGGAAUCAGCUGGUCGGAGGUCCUUUGGCACAGCAGCGCAAGGCAGCUCGUGGGAUGAGGCCAGUCGACUGACCGUGCAGGCCACCACCAAGCCUUGCCCCAAGUGUCGGACACCCACCGAGCGCAGUGACUUGUUGUCCAGGUCGCUGGCCGCUUCGUCCACAUCGUGGAUCCGCCACAGCUCAUCCUCGUAGGCGCUUCCAGCCGUCUGCCAUUAUCGCAAGCAUCACGUUGCAGCGCUGCUUUUCGGCACCUGUUGUUUUGACAAGCACGCUGUGUGCGCCUCUUUCCUCGACCAUCCUGUUCAUCAGCAUGCCAAAGUUUAUCGGCGUCUGAUCAGCAUUUCCAUUUUGUGUGCCAACAAACUCUGUGUCCUGCAGCAGGCGUAUAACUCUACUUGGGGCCCAUGGCACCCAGCGGAACCAAAGACAGGCAGAAAAGAGAGCAACAGCCAUGCAAAUUCGACACUAUGCUCACUAUGACAACCAAGCGCCCCUUCUUCACUCUGCCCCUGGCUGCGCAUUGUGCGGCCGCACUCUCUGCUAUUACCUCAGAGUAAAGUCCGUAAACUGCGUAAAGAGUAACUGUUGCAGAGAGCCAGUUGCUGUUUUUUUUCUCUCUCGAGUCUGCAAGGUGCGUUUGUGGUGGCACUGGCGGCAAGGUUGCGAUGAGAACAGGCUGAGCAUUUUUGCGGUCACUCUUUUCGUCAGGUCCCAAGUGGCCGUAAAAAUAUGCAGCCUCAUCUUACCGCAUGCUUACUGCCAGUGUUUGCCAUCAGCGUCUCACUCAUCUAGACCACCGCUCCGGCCAGUGUGCCACCACAGCACGUUUACCGCUAGCGUGGAUGGGCAGCCUACAUAAGUUUCCUGUGUUUCCUGUUUUCA